rnacentral:rRNA from 1 species
CCUACGGGAGGCAGCAGUGAGGAAUAUUGGUCAAUGGCCGCAGGGCUGAACCAGCCAAGUCGCGUGAGGGAUGACGGUCCUAUGGAUUGUAAACCUCUUUUGUCAGGGAGCAAAGGACGCCACGAGUGGCGUUUUGCGAGUACAUGAAGAAAAAGCAUCGACUAACUCCGUGCCAGCAGCCGCGGUAACACGGGGGCUGCGAGCGUUAUCCGGAUGUAUUGGGUUAAAGGGGUGCGCAGGGGUAAUGUCACGUCAGCGGUAAAGUUUCGGGGCUCAACCCCGUCGUGCCGUUGAAACUGGGGUUCUUGAGUGAGCGAGAGGUAUGCGGAAUGCGUGGUGUAGCGGUGAAAUGCAUAGAUAUCACGAAGAACUCCGAUUGCGAAGGCAGCAUACCGGUGCUCAACUGACGCUCAGGCACGAAAGCGUGGGUAUCGAACAGGAUUAGAUACCCGUGUAGUC